rnacentral:rRNA from 1 species
UACGUAGGUGGCAAGCGUUAUCCGGAAUUACUGGGCGUAAAGGGUCCGCAGGUGGCAAGACAAGUCCGGUGUGACACCACUCGGCUCAACUGAGUGAGGCCAUUGGAAACUGUCCUGCUAGAGUCACGGAGAGGGGUGCGGAAUUCCGGGUGUAGUGGUGGAAUGCGUAGAGAUCCGGAGGAACACCAGAGGCGCAAGCGGCACCCUGGCCGAUGACUGACACUGAGGGACGAAAGCGUGGGGAGCAAAC